GAAGAAGAACGUAGCGAAAUGCGAUAAGUAAUGUGAAUUGCAGAAUUCAGUGAAUCAUCGAAUCUUUGAACGCAACUUGCGCCCUCUGGUAUUCCGGAGGGCAUGCCUGUUUGAGUGUCAUGUAGACUCAAUCCCUCGGGUUUCUGAGGAGGUUGGAUUUGGGUGCUUGCCUUCUGGCUCGCCUUAAAGGACUUAGCAGGAUAGCACUGUAGUCGACGUAAUAAGUCUCGUCGGUGAAAGUGUGAUGUCUGCUUACAGAUUGCCCUUGGGCACUUUUGACUCUGACCUCAAAUCAGGUAGGACUACCCGCUGAACUUAAGCAUAUCAAUAAGCGGAGGA
rnacentral:misc_RNA from 1 species